GGGGAUCUAGCUCAGUUGGUAGAGUGCUUGUCUUGCAUGCACAAGGCCCUGGGUUUGAUCCCCAGCACCCCCC
rnacentral:tRNA from 1 species